rnacentral:tRNA from 1 species
GUUUAGAUAGCUUAACCAAAGCAUAGCACUGAAAAUGCUAAGAUGAGUUCUAAAAAAUUCUCCAAACA